CGGGGGAGCAAGCGUUGUUCGGAUUUACUGGGCGUAAAGGGCGCGUAGGCGGCCAGCACAAGUCAGUUGUGAAAUCUCCGGGCUUAACUCGGAGCGGUCAACUGAUACUGUGCGGCUAGAGUGCAGAAGGGGCAACUGGAAUUCUCGGUGUAGCGGUGAAAUGCGUAGAUAUCGAGAGGAACACCUGCGGCGAAGGCGGGUUGCUGGGCUGACACUGACGCUGAUGCGCGAAAGCCAGGGGAGCGAACGGGAUUAGAUACCCCGGUAGUCCUGGCCUUAAACGAUGGAUGCUUGGUGUCUGGAGUUUUAUAGUCUCCGGGUGCCGUAGCUAACGCGUUAAGCAUCCCGCCUGGGGAGUACGGUCGCAAGACUG
rnacentral:rRNA from 1 species